rnacentral:rRNA from 1 species
UACGUAGGGUGCGAGCGUUGUCCGGAUUUAUUGGGCGUAAAGGGCUUGUAGGCGGUCUGUCGCGUCGGGUGUGAAAGCCCACUGCUUAACGGUGGGUCUGCUUUCGGUACGGGCGGGCUAGAGUAUGGCAGGGGAGACUGGAAUUCCUGGUGUAGCGGUGGAAUGCGCAGAUAUCAGGAGGAACACCGGUGGCGAAGGCGGGUCUCUGGGACGAUACUGACGCUGAGGAGCGAAAGCGUGGGGAGCGAACAGG